AAAGUUUUAUUUUAGCUUAAUAUUUAUUUAAUUUAUGUUUUACAUGUAAAUUAUUGUGAGAAUAUAAAAAUUUCUUAAAGAAAUUUUUAAAUAAAUUAUACGCAGUAUUUAAUAUUAAAUAUGAAAGAAAUUUUGAUUUGGUAAUAAAUUUUAAUAUAGGAUAAAUUUGUGCCAGCAUCUGCGGUUAUACAAAUUAUGUAAAUAAAUAAAUUUAGUUUAUAGUUAAUAUUUAUUUUUUAAAAAAAAAGUUAAAUUUUUAGGUUAAAUUUAAAAUUUAAAAUUAAUUUAUAAAAAGAGAUUAUGAAGCUAGAAAAUUUUAAUAAUAAACUAGGAUUAGAUACCCUAUUAUUUAAAAUAUAAAAUAAUUAAACUAAGGUAGUAAUAGAUAUAAUCUUGAAACUUAAAAAAUUUGGCGGUGUUUUAGUCUAUUUAGAGGAACCUGUUCCGUAAUCGAUAAUCCACGAUAAAUUUUACUAAAUUUGAUAAAAUUUGUAUACCGUCGUUAUCAGAAUAUCUUAAAAGAGAAAAAUAUUCAAAAAUUUUUAAAAAAAUUUAUUUCAGAUCAAGGUGCAGUUUAUAAUUUAGAGGAAAUGGGUUACAAUAAAUUUAUUUAAAUGGAAAAAUAAAUGAAAUUUUAUUUUGAAGGUGGAUUUAAUAGUAAUAUUAAUAAAAUAAUUAAUUUGAUUUUAGCUCUAAAACAUGUACAUAUCGCCCGUCGCUCUUUCUUUUAAAGAAAGAUAAGUCGUAACAUAGUAGAUGUACUGGAAAGUGUAUCUAGAAUGAA
rnacentral:ncRNA from 1 species